UCGAAUACAUUAGCAUGGAAUAAUAGAAUAGGACGUGUGGUUCUAUUUUGUUGGUUUCUAGGACCGCCGUAAUGAUUAAUAGGGACAGUCGGGGGCAUCAGUAUUCAAUCGUCAGAGGUGAAAUUCUUGGAUUGAUUGAAGACUAACUACUGCGAAAGCAUUUGCCAAGGAUGUUUUCAUUAAUCAGGAACGAAAGUUAGGGGAUCGAAGACGAUCAG
rnacentral:rRNA from 1 species